CUCCUACGGGUGGCAGCAGUGGGGAAUAUUGGACAAUGGGCGCAAGCCUGAUCCAGCCAUGCCGCGUGUGUGAAGAAGGCCUUCGGGUUGUAAAGCACUUUUGUUCGGGAAGAAAUCGUGCGGAUUAAUACUUCGUACGGAUGACGGUACCGAAAGAAUAAGCACCGGCUAACUUCGUGCCAGCAGCCGCGGUAAUACGAAGGGUGCAAGCGUUACUCGGAAUCACUGGGCGUAAAGCGUGCGUAGGCGGUUCGUUAAGUCUGCUGUGAAAGCCCUGGGCUCAACCUGGGAACUGCAGUGGAUACUGGCGGGCUAGAGUGUGAUAGAGGAUGGUGGAAUUCCCGGCGUAGCGGUGAAAUGCGUAGAGAUCGGGAGGAACACCAGUGGCGAAGGCGGCCAUCUGGAUCAACACUGACGCUGAGGCACGAAAGCGUGGGGAGCAAACAGGAUUAGAUACCCUGGUAGUCCACGCCCUAAACGAUGCGAACUGGACGUUGGUUGCAACUUGGCAAUCAGUGUCGAAGCUAACGCGUUAAGUCGCCGC
rnacentral:rRNA from 1 species